GCCACAGCCACUUGAGAUCUGAGCCACGACCUACACCGACAUACGUGGCAACGCUGGACCCUUAACCCACUGAGCAAGGCCAGGGAUCGAACCUGCAUCCUCAUGGACACUGUUGGGUUCUUUACCUGCUGAGCCACAACAGGACCUCCCCAUUGCCUCUUUUUAGAAGAGGAAACGUAGACUUGGAGAGGCCAAAUAAUAUAAUUACCCUAAAAUCACUCAGCAAGGAAGUGGUAGGGAUAUUUGAAUAUGAUUACAGUAGGAAUCUGGUCCUUGCACCCCAGGUGCCCUCUAGUCAUUUGUGGAGACAGAAAGACCCAAAUGCAGUUCACUGUGGACCGUGUGUGAUAGAUGCCACCAUGGCUAGAAAAACUGUGGGGAGCAGGAGGGACCAGCAGCUUAUGUAACAUUCUCUGGGGGAUGAUUUUGCCCCCAAGGGCCAUGUGGCAAUGUCUAAAGCCACUGUGGGUUGUCACAACCUGGGAAGGAGGGGUAGAUGGCUACUGCCACUAGUGAGCCAGGGACACUCCUUCAAGGUACAGGACACUCCCAGCCCUGCAACAAAUGUUACUCAGCUGGGAGUCCCCACUGUGGUACAGUGGGUUAAGGAUCCAGCAUUGCCACAGCUGUGGUGUAGGUUGCAGCUGCAGCUCAGAUUUGAUCCCUAGCCCAGGAAUUUUCGUAUGUGGGUAUAGCCAUUGAAAAAAAAAAAAAGAGUUACCCAACCCCGAAUAUAUCAGUAGUUCAGAGACAGAAGGCUGCCAGCAAAUGCCUUUUAAUCUGGGCCUUGGAGGGGACGGAGUCUCUACUAGGCAGAGAGACUCUCCAGAUCAGGGACUGGAGCCAGCAAGGCACAGGUGGCAUUUGAAAAGCAGGUUGGCUGAUGUGGGUUGGGUGGAGGGGUCAGAUUGCAAAACCCAUUUUCCCAGGCUAAGGAGAGUUUGGACUUUAUUUAAUUGGAGUUACCCAUGGGGGUUGCAUACGCAUUCUAAAGAUCUUUUUUUUUUUCCUUAAUUAAAAAAAAAAUUGAAGUGGGAGUUCCCAUAGCAGCUCGACGGUAACGAACCCAACUAGUAACCAUGAGGACGUGGGUUCUAUCCCUGGCCUCACUCAGUGGGUUAAGGAUCCGGUGUUGUCUGUGAGCUGUGGUGUAGGCUGGCAGCUGCAGCUCUGAUUUGAGCCCUAGCCUGAGAACUUCCAAGUGCCGCAGGUGAGCCCCUUAAAAAAAAAAAAGACACACACGAAAAUUAAAGUGUAGUUGAUUUGCUGUGUUUCAGCUGUAUAGCAAAGUAAUUUGGUUAUAUACAUAUGUAUACACAUAUGUGUAUAUAUAUUUUCUAUUAUAGGUUAUUAAAAAUAUUGAAUAUAGUUCCCUGUGCUAUACAGUAGGUCCUUGCUGUUUAUCUAUUUUAGAUCCAUUAGUGUCUGUUAAUCCUCAGUUCCUAAUUUAACCUUCCCCUCUAAAGAUAAAUUGUUGCUUUUAAAUUAACCCACAGGGGAAGUUCCUUUUGUGGCUCAGAAGUUAAAGGACCCGACUAGGAUCCAUGAGGAUGUGGGUUCAAUCCCUGGCCUCGCUCAGUGGGUUAAGGAUCCAGCAUUGCCAUGAGCUGUGGUGUAGGUUGCAGAUUCGGCUCAGAUCCCGAGUUGCUCUGGCUGUGGUAUAGGUCGGCAGCUGUAGCUCCAAUUCGACCCCUAGCGUGGGAACUUCCACAUGCCAAGAGUUCAGCCCUAAAAAGCAAAAAAUAAAAAUUAAUGCAUGGGAAAUUCAAAGAGCACAAAUCUUAAGUCCUUUCCCAUCUCUCACCCACGGCUUCCCCAGAAGUGACGGUGCCAAAUCUGUUUCUUGGUGUCUUUUCUGAGCUGAUCUGUGCUAUAUGUGUGUAUAUUGUAUCUUAGGGUUGAUUUUAAAUUUUUUCGGAUUACAAAUGCAUUUCCUGUCCGCCGUGGAGAAGCCCAUCAAAAUGGAAAUAGGUGAUGUGGAGAAGAUAGCUUGACUCGCACCCCAGGCUGCACCCCAACACUAACACCGACAGCCGAGCAGGGGAAGCCUUGCUGUUAGGAGCCUCACAGCUUGAAGCUGUGUUUUGGAGAGAAAGCGGGGUACUGGGGAGGGUGAAGCUGGAAGGCUGGGAAUGAUUUCUGAGGCUCCUGCAGCAGCUGAGGCAAGCGGCCAGCGCCUCGGCCAGAGUACACAGGAGGAGAAGGUCAGGCCAGAUGUUCAGGAGGGAAAUCAUCCAGGCCUCCUCCUGACUGGACGAGAGGGGAAAUGACCUUCGCUUCCAGCCCUUGGAGAAUUAACUGUCCCCUUUGGGAGGCCAGGGAGUUUGGAGGAGGAAGGAAUCAGACAGCUGUGCUGGGUCCCAUCCCAGACGCCUGGUCACAUCCAAGGCAGGGUCUGGUGUGGCCUCCCAGUCCAGAGCCUGGCUUUCAGGAUGGGAGGCUACUAGUUCACGCAGGACAGAAAAGCUGGGACAGUGACGUCUAACCAACCUCACCAGGAACUGAUAAGCUGGUCAGUCCAGAUGCUAAUGAUUCGUCUCAAGGUAUUUGCAGCAAGAUUCUGCCAUGGGUAGAGCACAGAGCCGAUCUGUAGAAAUAAAGUUGGCCAGGAGCUGUUCUGUGCCACUUGACAGAAGGGACUUGAGCAUCAGAGGAUUUUGGUAUCUGAGGAAGGUUCUAGAACCAAUCGCCUGUGGAUUCUGAGGCAUGUAGGACUGUAUAAGGUGAACCACACAUCCCAGUGUAGAGAGAAACUCUAUUGUUUUUCCUUACACUCCACAUAACAAUCCAUGUCUGACACUUCCAGUCACCAAAUGUAUUCGGGCUUUCCCCACAACAAGCAGUUGUCCAGUUCUCCGUGGCUCAGAAAAGAGGUCCUACAAAUUUAACUCGAUUUUGACACUGUCCCACAAGACUGUCCCCACUUCAACUGCAAGUCCAAGUUGUCACCUGUGCUUUUGACUGAAUUGGAGAUUCCCACCACCUCCUCCUCAGUUUGAUGAAUUUACUAGAGGGGCUCACAGAACACCGGAAAACCUCUUACUUAUUAGGUUUCUGGUUUAGUAUAAGCAGAUACCACUUAGGGACAGCCAGAUGGAAGGGAUGCAUAAGACAAGGUACGUGGGAAUGAAACACUGCACCUUGACAGGACUUGAACCCAUAGGCUGGGUCUCUAACUCAGCCAAAACCCGGACUGAGACUUGAAUUGACUGUUUCAUUAAAAAUCACUGAUCUGGUCUCAGGA
rnacentral:lncRNA from 1 species